UACGUAGGGUGCAAGCGUUGUCCGGAAUUAUUGGGCGUAAAGAGCUCGUAGGCGGUCUGUUGCGUCGGCUGUGAAAACCCGGGGCUCAACUCCGGGCCUGCAGCCGAUACGGGCAGACUAGAGUUCGGCAGGGGAGACUGGAAUUCCUGGUGUAGCGGUGAAAUGCGCAGAUAUCGUUUGGAACGCCAAUGGUGAAAACAACUUGCUGGGGGGUGUGCUGACGCUGAGACACGAAAGCCAGGGGAGCAAACGGG
rnacentral:rRNA from 1 species